rnacentral:rRNA from 1 species
AUACGAAGGGUGCGAGCGUUAAUCGGAAUUACUGGGCGUAAAGCGCGCGUAGGCGGUUGGAUAAGUCGGAUGUGAAAGCCCCGGGCUCAACCUGGGAAUUGCAUUCGAAACUGUCUGGCUAGAGUAUGGUAGAGGGAAGCGGAAUUCCACAUGUAGCGGUGAAAUGCGUAGAUAUCUGGAGGAACAUCAGUGGCGAAGGCGCCUUCCUGGACUAAUACUGACACUGAGGUGCGAAAGCGUGGGUAGCAAACAGGAUUAGAAACCCUGGUAGUCC